CCAUGACAGGCGUGAGUGCAAGACCUUGUGUUCUUACCCAACCAUUAAUUCAAAGCAAUUAGAGCUGUCAAAUUACUACUGUACAAUACGUUAUAGCUAAUUUGAAUUUGAAAGGUUCACUUUUUUUUUGAGACACACUGUAUAUAGAUGAAUCACUGCAGUGUCUGCGAACAUCCAGGCGGACAAAAAAAUACACAAGAUAGACAACUACAGAGUCAGAGAAAGUUGACUAGUUGAGUAAUCACUCCGCCCGCUCG